GACGAACGCUGGCGGCGUGCUUAACACAUGCAAGUCGAACGGAAAGGCCUCUUUCGGGGGGUACUCGAGUGGUGAACGGGUGAGUAACACGUGAGUAACCUGCCCUUGACUUUGGGAUAACUUCAGAAAACUGGGGCUAAUACCGGAUAGGAGCUCCUGCUGCAUGGUGGGGGUUGGAAAGUUUCGGCGUUUGGGGAUGGACUCGCGGCUUAUCAGCUUGUUGGUGGGGUAAUGGCUUACCAGGGCUUUGGCGGGUAGCCGGCCUGAGAGGGUGACCGGCAACAUUGGGACUGGGAUACGGCCCAGACUCCUACGGGUGGCAGCAGUGGGGAAUAGUGCACAAUGGGUGGAAGCCUGAUGCAGCAACGCCGUGGGCGGGAGGACGGCCUUCGGGUUGUAAACCGCUUUCGCUCAUGACGAAGCUUUGUGUGACGGUAGUGGGUAAAGAAGCACCGGCUAACUACGUG
rnacentral:rRNA from 1 species